rnacentral:rRNA from 1 species
UACGUAGGGUGCUAGCGUUAUCCGGAAUUACUGGGCGUAAAGGGUGCGUAGGUGGUUUCUUAAGUCAGAGGUGAAAGGCUACGGCUCAACCGCAGUAAGCCUUUGAAACUGGGAAACUUGAGUGCAGGAGAGGAGAGUGGAAUUCCUAGUGUAGCGGUGAAAUGCGUAGAUAUUAGGAGGAACACCAGUUGCGAAGGCGGCUCUCUGGACUGUAACUGACACUGAGGCACGAAAGCGUGGGGAGCAAACAGGAUUAGAUACCCUGGUAGUCCCU